GAUGAACGCUGGCGGCGUGCCUAAUACAUGCAAGUCGAGCGAAUGGAUUGAGAGCUUGCUCUUAUGAAGUUAGCGGCGGACGGGUGAGUAACACGUGGGUAACCUACCCAUAAGACUGGGAUAACUCCGGGAAACCGGGGCUAAUACCGGAUAACAUUUUGAACCGCAUGGUUCGAAAUUGAAAGGCGGCUUCGGCUGUCACUUAUGGAUGGACCCGCGUCGCAUUAGCUAGUUGGUGAGGUAACGGCUCACCAAGGCAACGAUGCGUAGCCGACCUGAGAGGGUGGUCGGCCACACUGGGACUGAGACACGGCCCAGACUCCUACGGGAGGCAGCAGUAGGGAAUCUUCCGCAAUGGACGAAAGUCUGACGGAGCAACGCCGCGUGAGUGAUGAAGGCUUUCGGGUCGUAAAACUCUGUUGUUAGGGAAGAACAAGUGCUAGUUGAAUAAGCUGGCACCUUGACGGUACCUAACCAGAAAGCCACGGCUAACUUCGUGCCAGCCGCCGCAGUAA
rnacentral:rRNA from 1 species